ensembl:lncRNA
CCCCAAUCGCCGGCCGGCGUAGCGUCAGCGGUCCCGCCCCGCCGUGACGGUCCUUCCGGCUGCUGGUGUGUUUGGCACGGGGCUGUCCGCUUCCUGCCGGUGUGGCAGUUGGGGAAGGAGCGCCUUUCUUCUCUUGCGCGCCGGCUGUCGGUCCGUCGCGAUAAUAUAUAUCAAGCGAAGGCUUAAUUUCCACAUCACCUGAUCAUGGUCGGCAUGAUUUUACACAAGCUUCAGAUGCCGGUCGCGCACGAGGGCGCUCCCAUAGUGAUCAUAAAUAUACUCUGAAAUGAGUUACAGAGCUGCGAUGGAUUGGCACCCUGUCCAGGGUGUACCCCGCCUUGUGCCUGAUGCUCCCUGGGAUAGGCUCCAGGCUCCCCCGCGACCCUGAAAAGGACUUUCAGGAUUACUCAAGUCCGUGUUAGAUGAGAUGUGUUUCAUCACCUCACUCAUUUCUGCACCAGUUCUGCAAACUGCACAUUUCUGACUGCGAGGACGUGAUGCGGCUGUUCGUUUUUACAGGAAAUUAUUAACACACAAACACCUGAAAUCCUUUUACUCUUAUUUACUGUCAUUUUUCUUGUGUAAAAUAACCUGAGCGAAAAGAAAACACUGCAUGGAAAAACUAGAAAUAAAUGUAUAAUGUGUAUAAGGUUUGUGUUUGGAUGCAUAGCAGAUAACACAAAUGAUCGAGUCGUGAAACAUUCGAGGUGAUAUUAGUUCAAAAGUCUGUGCUCCUCUUUCUGAAUGUGAUAUCACAGCUAAUUAAGCGCUGUGAGCGGUUUACUUUUUUCUUUAUUGUGUUGCUUGGAAUUCAUUUCAGUGGGUGGGGAGCAACACAUUUUUAUCAUAUUAAUAACACAUUUAUGAUAGUUUCACUGACAAUGAUUAAAAUAAGAUCUCGGAAGCAGGAAGCUGGAGAUCACAACUCUGUCAUUUUCAAUCUCUGUGCUUUUGAGCUACAAAGUGGGAAAAAACGUGGACUCCUCUAUGCUUGUCUUUUGUUAGCGAUGAGCAAGGAGUAACAGUAUUUACCUCAGAACAGUGAAGUGUAGAGUCACUGCCCCAUGAAGUUCC